GAUGAACGCUGGCGGCGUGCCUAAUACAUGCAAGUCGAGCGAAUGGAUUAAGAACUUGCUCUUAUGAAGUUAGCGGCGGACGGGUGAGUAACACGUGUGUAACCUGCCCAUACGACUGGGAUAACUCCGGGAAACCGGGGCUAAUACCGGAUACCAUUUUGAACCGCAUGGUUCGAAAUUGAAUGCGGCUUCGGCUGUCACUUAUUGAUGGACCCGCGUCGCAUUAGCUAGUUGGUGAGGUAACGGCUCACCAAGGCAACGAUGCGUAGCCGACCUGAGAGGGUGAUCGGCCACACUGGGACUGAGACACGGCCCAGACUCCUACGGGAGGCAGCAGUAGGGAAUCUUCCGCAAUGGACGAAAGUCUGACGGAGCAACGCCGCGUGAGUGAUGAAGGCUUUCGGGUCGUAAAACUCUGUUGUUAGGGAAGAACAAGUGCUAGUUGAAUAAGCUGGCACCUUGACGGUUCCUAACCAGAAAGCCACAGCUAACUACGUGCCAGCAGCCGCAGUAA
rnacentral:rRNA from 1 species